UACAGAGGGUGCAAGCGUUAAUCGGAAUUACUGGGCGUAAAGCGUGCGUAGACGGUUAUGUAAGUCGGGUGUGAAAGCCCCGGGCUCAACCCGGAAAAGGCAUUGAAUACUGCGGUGCUGGGAGGUUUGGAGGGGGGACUGGAAUUCUCGGUGUAGCAGUGAAAUGCGUAGAUAUCGAGAGGAACACCAGUGGCGAAGGCGAGUCCCUGGACAACACCUGACACUGAGGCACGAAAGCUAGGGGAGCAAACAGG
rnacentral:rRNA from 1 species